UAUCUUCUCUCUCGACACGGCGGCGCACAACAGAAGAGUUUUUCAUUGUAAUUCGUCAAAGGCAGGGAGAAGCAAGAACAAGAUCAGAAAGCGGCGGAGGAAUAAGAUCAGAAAGCGGCGGAGGGAGAUCUGGGCUUGAUUGAGCUUAGGAAAGCGUCGGAGGGAGAAAGGUUUAUAUUAGGGAUAAAUAUUAUCGAUCUCCCGAUCUAUCAUAUUUAUCUUCGCUCAAUCAAGUUAUUACAAAUAAAAUGGCUGAUAAUAUGCAGAGAGCAAAUUGGAAAGAUCCUGAACUUUUAAAAUUAUAUUUAGAUGUUUGUAUUGAAGAAGAUAGGAGCGGAAAUAAAAAUGGAAAUGUUUUUAAGAAACGUUCCUGGGAUAUAAUUAGCAAUAGUAUUAAGGAGAAAAAAUGACUUAUAUUGAGUCAAAAACAGUUAAAAAAUCAAUGGGAUUACUUGAAAAAAAAAGUAUGGCAUUUGGGAGAAAAUAAUUAAUAAAACUGGAAAUGGAUAUGAUCCAAUUACAAAUACCGUUGGCUGGACUUCUGAAGAGUGGGAAGAAUAUAUUAAGGUUCAUCCUGAUGCAAAACAAUUCAGAUAUGUUGGACUACAAUAUGCAGAUGAGAUGAAGGAAUUAUUUGAUGGUAUUGGAGCUACUGGAAAAGAUGCUUGGGGUCCUUCUAUGGAGGGACAACCAUCAUGUCCUCCAAAGAACACCACAAUCGUUGAUGUUGAUUUGGAUAUAGAGAUACCUAGUAGUCCUGUAUCUCCCGCUAACAUCGAACUUUCAAAACAUAAACGACGGAGGACAAA